rfam:Poecilia formosa, whole genome shotgun sequence.
ACUGCUGUCUCUGAGCCAUGAGCCGUGUUCAAACAAGCUAUAAAAAUGAAUUAUUGCCAAACGCAUGCAGUGACUCGGCCCCCUUUUUAGUUUUAGGAGUCGGGGAGUCCCGUAUGAAAACGUAAGUGGGUGUUUUUUAUUAUUUGUUCACAUUACGCGACAAUUGCUCUCCUUAACGUCCGUCUCUUUCAUGCCACGGGGGUGAUUUAUGAGCUCCUGAAGGCAAACAUGGCUCCGGU